AACGUAGGACGCAAGCGUUAUCCGGAGUUACUGGGCGUAAAGCGCGGGCAGGCGGUCUUGCCAGUCUGAUGUGAAAUCUCCUCGCUCAACGGGGAGCAGCCAUUGGAAACUACAAGACUGGAGUCUGGCAGAGGUAGGCGGAAUUCCGGGUGGAGUGGUGAAAUGCGUAGAGAUCGGGAAGAACAUCGGUGGCGAAGGCGGCCUGCUGGGCUGUUGCUGACGCUGAGGCGCGACAGCGUGGGGAGCAAACAGG
rnacentral:rRNA from 1 species